CUCCCACCUGUUCUUACUACUACUACUACGUCUGCCGAAAUCCGUAUCGCCGCCGUGUCCACCCUGUUCCGCGUUCAACCCACUUUCCUUGAGCUGCAACAGCUGAUGGCUGGCGCCAUUUGGCAACGCAUCAGCAUAUCAAAAAGGUCUUAACUUAAUGAUGACUACCUUCCACACCAACUUUUCCGUUCCAGCAACCGCGUCGACUUCCCAGAUCAGAAAUAUGGUUUCGGUGUUGGUCUGCUACUUGUAAUUAUCUACGGUGAAGAGUCCUAGCACUCCCCUCAUAAUUUCCAAACGUGCCACUAUUGUGUUGGAAAUGGAAUUCAAUUGAACUACGUCCCUCUUGAGAUCAUGAUUCGUUUGGAAGGUGUUGAGGACGCCUACGUCCGUCUUUCCCGCAAACUGGAUCCCAAGGAUUUCAAACUAGAUACUCUGAAGGAACUUUGACCAUGAAGGUUGUUCCUCGCCAGCAGACUCACAUGGAGAUGAAAAUCUUGUUACGAUCUCAAGGAUACAUUUUGGUGUACCGUCACAAGGUAAUUUCUGGACUAAUGGAAGAAAAGAGGUGAUCUCCCGUAGCUUGAAAUUGACCUGCAGCAUGGUCAUGCUCGGUGGACAACACAUAAGCUGGAGGGUCAUCGAUGUCGGUCAUCCCUGUCGGUGUCGGCCUGAGCUCUCCUGGAUUCGCUCGCAACCAGUUCGCAUGUGGCAACGUUAACCAGCCCAACAAGCUCGGCCGCUCCAUCUUGGCCGAUUUGGACGUCACUAUUCUUAACUGUUUGAUGUAAACGUUAGUUGGGAAUUCAACUCACUGUAUGUACUCUAACACAGAUAACUGUUGCUGUUACCUUACAGCCACAGGCAGGAAAAUUAUUCUUUUCGUUAGAAAAUUGGAAAGCUGCUGAAGUAAUCUGUUGUUCAUGCACAUUUGAUUCAUUUCGUUCCAGCUACUGAAAGCCGAAAGGCAUGUCGAAUUCAAGCUGAGCUGCUGUGUGCUGUCUGGAAUCAAGCAAUCCAUCCGUUGCGUUUAGUCAUUUGAACAGGAAUCUAAUGGCUGUCAAUAGGUGGCUGAAAUUAUGUCCACCAGGUAGCGCGAGUGUCUUUAGCACUGACGCAUAGCGGCCAUUAUGUUGUUAGACGCAGCAGAGAUGGGUUGCUGGUCCUGACGUUUCUCACGAUGAAAAUUAAAAGUUUAUUUAUCAUGUAGAAACCAAUUUGCAAAUUCAUUCAACUCAGACUUGGAAGUGCCUGUACAUUGCCGAAAUGGCGUGCCUCGUGUGUCUUGCUGCCUGUUCUUAGGCGUACGUCUCAUCCCAUGCAACAGCAAAAAGUAUAACAAACACUUCUUUAACACUGUUGGUUACCUUGUUGCAGCCAAAUGGUGAAAGGUGUGACAAAGACAGAUUGAACCGUUGUAUGCAGCAUGAGGUUGCAGUGUGAUCCAGAAGUAGCCGUGUUGGACCUGAAAUUGCUGUGCUGUUGUACCGGAGCUGUUCCAUCUGGGUUCCUGACUUGAAAAUUUUUGUGUUGUUUGCCUGCCAGUAUUUUGUAUUGUGAUUUCAGAUAGUUUGAUCUGUCGUCUUUUGAGUUUUCAUUCAAUCAUGCAGUAUACGACUGAGGCAACCUGAUCAAUGUCAGGUUUGACACAGUCGAGAACUGCUAGAUCAAACAAGCUUUCUGCGCCAAACAAAUAAUAAUUUGCAUAUAACUUGCACCAUGUUAUUAUCGCGGUAGAGAAAGCGACAGGCCCCCCCCCCCUGGGGGCCACAGGAAAA